GGCCACAGCCAUAUCACCCUGCAGCCCAAGACUGGUUGCCCACUGAAGCUAAGCAGGGUUGAGCCUGGUCAGUACUUGGAUUGGAUACCUCCUGGGAAAACUAGGUUGCUGUUGGAA
rnacentral:rRNA from 1 species